GUGAGUGGUAGAACUGGCACUCUGUUGAGAAAAUGUUAAAGUAUAACGUGUAUUCUUAUCUAAAAGGGCCCUUCCAUAUGGACAGAGUGAAGAUAGACACAUAUCAGAGAAGAUUGGGAUUACAUUGAAAAUAGAAACCUUCACAUAAUGACUUCCUCUAGGGGAGAUGAAUGGAGACAGUGGCUAAAUGAACAGCUCUCCAACUUCUUGUGAGUGAUGUCAUAAUGCAGAACAAAGCAUUCAGGGGCCAUUUGGGGGUUUUCCCUGGCAUUGAAGCUGGAUCUGUGACAGACUGAAAAUCUCUGCUCAACACCCACGGUGCCGAACACUCCACAUUCUAAAUAUGUAGCUGGAAAACUUCCCAGAUUGUACAUCUGCCUCUCUAAUUUACACCUCCAAAGACGAGGGGGAGCAAGGAAGAGGUGAGAAGCCUUAAUGAACUACUUGGAGCCUUGCAUGUGCUGUGGGAAACUUCAGCACACGCCGAAACCUGGCUAGAUGGUAAACAAAUAUUUGAACAUUGAGUUUCAGUGAUGUCCAUUACAUUCCAACGGCGACCUUGCCUUCAAAGAGUAACCAAGAGUCCCUUCCCCUCUUUUUUCUUAUCUUCUGUCAGUCCUUCCAAGAUACCUCCUGGGUCCCAUAUUGGACUUUCACCAAAUUUUCCAUUCAAUUGGGUGCCAAAAUGCUGGUCCCAGCAUGAUUGGGGACUCCGUUUAUUAUCACAUUUUGGGUCUUCUUUCCCACACUGUGGAUGCUGCUCAGGUAGAAACUAUGCCUUUAUUGGGUUCAAAUAUUUACCUUGUAAUAAAACCACUAAGACACUGAAAUCUGCAGGAUAGUGCUGGCAAGAGCAUAUAAAUUCUAAGAUGGCUGUAGUGAAAGAGAAACAAAAUUUGUAGAGAGCAAACUGUGUACUGUUCCGUCUUAACUAAUGGUGCUUCUCAGCAGGCCAUUCUUGCAGUCCAUAGCGUGAAAUAAUAAUGUGCUGCUUAUAUUUUGGAGAAGGACUUUUGAUUGUGAUUAAACUCAAGAUAACUCCUAAUAUGGCAUUCUCCAAAUUAUAGCAUAGCAGGUUAUGCCUGCCUUAUCCACAUCAGAAACACUUCUUCAUUCUUACAGGGGUUCUUAACUUAGGGUCCAUGAACCCAGACAGACUGUGGAUAGAAUUCAACGUAUUUGUGAAUGUGGAUGGAAAAAAAUUAUAUCUUUACUUUCACUAAUCCUGAGCAAAUAUUUAGCAUAUGUUUCUAAAAUAAACAGAGACUACAAACUUCAGUGUUAUUAGCAUAACCUGUGACUUUAUCACCAACAGAAAUUACAGAUAUUUUCAUUACAGGUUACAGUUUUUACAUGUGCCUCAAAUAACAUUUAGAUUCUUCACUUCUUUGAAUUAGGGUAAUUAUUAGAACUACCAUCAGAUAUUGUUAUUUUAUGCAUUAAUAAAG